CCCGGUGGGGGUCAGGCUGUGCUGCGCGUCCCGGUGGGGGUCAGGCUGUGCUGUGCGUCCCGGUGGGGGUCAGGCUGUGAUGCCCGUCCCGGUGGGGGUCAGGCCGUGCUGCGCGUCCCGGUGGGGGUCAGGCUGUGCUGCGCGUCCCGGUGGGGGUCAGGCCGUGAUGCCCGUCCCGGUGGGGGUCAGGCUGUGCUGCGCGUCCCGGUGGGGGUCAGGCUGUGCUGCUCGUCCCGGUGGGGACCGUCUUCGUGGGCGUCAGGCUGAGUCUCCCGGCACCAGGGCCCUGGAAACACACAACAGGGCAGGCAUUUAGUGCACACAAUGCAACUGUGAUGGGAAAGCAGGGUGAGCAGGGUGAGAUUUCCCAGGCGGCUGAACACAGAGACGGAAGGCAGAGAAGGCAGAAGAUGCAUCCGAGCCGGCCCAGACCGGACCCGUUUGUUCAAG
rnacentral:lncRNA from 1 species